rnacentral:rRNA from 1 species
GACGAACGCUGGCGGCGUGCUUAACACAUGCAAGUCGAACGCUGAAGCUCAGCUUUUGUUGGGUGGAUGAGUGGCGAACGGGUGAGUAACACUUGAGUAACCUGCCUCCUUCUUUGGGAUAACGCCCUGAAACGGGUUCUAAUACUGGAUAUUCACUGGUCCUCGCAUGGGGGUCGGUGGUAGGGGUUUUUCUGGUGGGGGAUGGGCCCGCGGCCUAUCAGCUUGUUGGUGGGGUGAUGGCCUACCAAGGCUUUGACGGGUAGACGGCCUGAGCGCGUGACCGGUCAGAGUGGGACUGAGACACGGCCGAGACUCAUACGGGAGGCAGCAGUGGGGAGUAUUGCGCAAUGGGCGCAAGCGUGAUGCAGCGAAGACGCGUGAGGGAUGGAGGCCUUCGGGUUGUGAACCUCUUUGGGUCAUGGUCAAGCCGCAACAAUGGUUGUGGUGAGGGUAGUGGGUAAAGAAGCGCCGGCUAACUACGUG